CGACCAGACUCCUACGGGAGGCAGCAGUGGGGAAUAUUGCACAAUGGGCGAAAGCCUGAUGCAGCGACGCCGCGUGAGUGAAGAAGUAUUUCGGUAUGUAAAGCUCUAUCAGCAGGGAAGAAAAUGACGGUACCUGACUAAGAAGCCCCGGCUAACUACGUGCCAGCAGCCGCGGUAAUACGUAGGGGGCAAGCGUUAUCCGGAUUUACUGGGUGUAAAGGGAGCGUAGACGGCGAAGCAAGUCUGAAGUGAAAACCCAGGGCUCAACCCAUAGCCUGCUUUUGAAACUGUUUUUCUUGAGUGAAGUAGAGGCAAGCGGAAUUCCUAGUGUAGCGGUGAAAUGCGUAGAUAUUAGGAGGAACACCAGUGGCGAAGGCGGCUUGCUGGGCUUUUACUGACGCUGAGGCUCGAAAGCGUGGGGAGCAAACAGGAUUAGAUACCCCGGUA
rnacentral:rRNA from 1 species